AUUGAACGCUGGCGGCAGGCCUAACACAUGCAAGUCGAACGAGUGGCGGACGGGUGAGUUAUGUCUGGGAAACUGCCUGAUGGAUGGGGAUAACCACUGGAAACGGUAGCUAAUACCGCAUACCAUCAGAUGUGUCCAGAUGGGAUUAGCUAGUUGGUGGGGUAACGGCUAACCAAGGCGACGAUCCCUAGCUGGUCUGCGAGGAUGACCAGGCACACUGGGACUGAGACAGGGUCCAGACUCCUACGGGAGGCAGCAGUGGGGAAUAUUGCACAAGGGGCGCAAGCCUGAUGCAGCCAUGCCGCGUGUAUGAAGAAGGCCUUCGGGUUGUAAAGUACUUUCAGCGGGAAGGCGUUACCCGCAGAAGAAGCGCCGGCUAACUCCGUGCCAGCAGCCGCGGUAAUAC
rnacentral:rRNA from 1 species